rnacentral:rRNA from 1 species
AUUGAACGCUGGCGGCAGGCCUAACACAUGCAAGUCGAGCGGAUGAAGGGAGCUUGCUCCUGGAUUCAGCGGCGGACGGGUGAGUAAUGCCUAGGAAUCUGCCUGGUAGUGGGGGAUAACGUCCGGAAACGGGCGCUAAUACCGCAUACGUCCUGAGGGAGAAAGUGGGGGAUCUUCGGACCUCACGCUAUCAGAUGAGCCUAGGUCGGAUUAGCUAGUUGGUGGGGUAAAGGCCUACCAAGGCGACGAUCCGUAACUGGUCUGAGAGGAUGAUCAGUCACACUGGAACUGAGACACGGUCCAGACUCCUACGGGAGGCAGCAGUGGGGAAUAUUGGACAAUGGGCGAAAGCCUGAUCCAGCCAUGCCGCGUGUGUGAAGAAGGUCUCCGGAUUGUAAAGCACUUUAAGUUGGGAGGAAGGGCAGUAAGUUAAUACCUUGCUGUUUUGACGUUACCAACAGAAUAAGCACCGGCUAACUUCGUG